AUACGGAGGAUGCAAGCGUUAUCCGGAUUUAUUGGGUUUAAAGGGUGCGUAGGCGGUUUACUAAGCGUGAGGUGAAAUGCCACUGCUCGACAGUGGAACUGCCUCGCGAACUGGUUGUCUUGAAUGCUCCUGCCGUGGGAGGAAUGUGUGGUGUAGCGGUGAAAUGCAUAGAGAUCACACAGAACACCGAUUGCGAAGGCAUCUCACGAAGGGGUGAUUGACGCUGAGGCACGAAAGCGUGGGGAUCAAACAGGAUUAGAUACCCUGGUAGUCCACGCAGUAAACGAUGAUAACUAACUGCUGGGUCGUAGUGAUUCAGUGGCCAAGCGAAAGCGAUAAGUUAUCCACCUGGGGAGUACGGCCGCAAGGUUGAAACUCAAAGGAAUUGACGGGG
rnacentral:rRNA from 1 species